rnacentral:rRNA from 1 species
UACGUAGGAUGCGAGCGCUAUCCGGAAUUACUGGGUGUAAAGGGAGCGCAGGCGGGACUGCAAGUUGGAUGUGAAAUGCCGCAGCUUAACUGCGGAGCUGCAUCCAAAACUGUAGUUCUUGAGUGGAGUAGAGGCAAGCGGAAUUCCGAGUGUAGCGGUGAAAUGCGUAGAUAUUCGGAGGAACACCAGUGGCGAAGGCGGCUUGCUGGGCUCUAACUGACGCUGAGGCUCGAAAGUGUGGGGAGCAAACAGG